GCUUUGGUGGGGUAGUGGUAACCUGGGUUGUUGCCAUCGACAAAGAGGGAAGCUAUUUCGUCUCGACCCGCCGGGGGUUCGAUUCCCUCCCAAAGCA